CGCUUGUUUGCUCAGAGUCGUUGGCUUUUAGAGGUGGAGCCGCUGCGGGAUCUUUCAGGAAAAAUCCUGGGACUCAUAACAUGGGCGCCUUCGUUGAUGUCCCCUCUUAUCCCUCCUCAAGGCUUUCUGGUCUACAAGGUCUGAAAGUCUAGACUGGCAAUGUGCGCUGAGAGAAGCCUACAUUUUCUCCUGUAAUAACUGUCUUGGAUUGCAGACAUGACACUUCAGCCAGCGCUGUGAAAUAGAUGGGUCUCACCUAUCGGCUUUCCAGGUAGGCCAUCUUAAAAAAGGUAAACCACUGGACACCAAAAACAUGAUCCAUAAAAGAAAAAAU
rnacentral:lncRNA from 1 species